rnacentral:rRNA from 1 species
AUCCUACGGGACGCAGCAGUAGGGAAUUUUCGUCAAUGGGCGCAAGCCUGAACGAGCAAUGCCGCGUGAACGAGGAAGGUCUUCGGAUCGUAAAGUUCUGUUGAAGGGGAAAAAGAGCGGAGAGAGGAAAUGGUCUCCGAUUGAUAUUACCCUUCGAGGAAGGCACGGCUAACUACGUGCCAGCAGCCGCGGUAAUACGUAGGCGGCGAGCGUUAUCCGGAAUGAUUGGGCGUAAAGGGUGCGGAGGCGGCCUGCUAAGUCUGGAGUGAAAGGUAACGGCUCAACCGGAACGG